UGAGGAUAUGAGAUCGAGAUGAUUGGUUAAGUGGAGGAGAGUUGGUGCAGACUCAGAUUAGCCGGAGUUUUUUUGUUGAAAGCAUUCUAGCGAAGUUUUGUGUCUAUCUCCUUGAAGCUUCUUACCAGACUUCAUCUCUAACGUGAAAAUGUGGAAUCUUACACAACUGUCAGCGAACACGGAAAGGAGGAGCGGUCAAGCGGUUCAAUUAGGCGAAGAAAAAUAUCGAUUGUUCUCGGUCCGGUAGACUUUCCGGCGAAACCAACAGCACUCUCUUUGUAUCCUCAACUUCCACAUAAGGGU
rnacentral:lncRNA from 1 species